GGGCGUUUUAGCUCAAAUGGUAGAGCGCUUGCUUUGCAUGCAAGAGGUAGUGGGAUCGAUGCCCACAACGUCCA